GUCAAAAUUGGUGUCGUCCAAAUGUGUCGUCUGAGACGCUCGUUUCUGUGAACCGUACGGGAUAAUUCUCUGAGAGACGAAGCACAUCAGUUCUCAUUUAAACUGAAUUUACCGAUUGUAUUUCAUGUUUAAAUAUUCAAAUAAUUAAUUAAAUUAAAUAUUUAAAUUAUAUCAAGCUACCAGCUGGAUAACAAAACAAUGUUAAUAAAUUGAUUCCGCUUCUGGGUUACACACCGAUUCCGAAAUUUUUCAAGGUGUGCGGUAUUUCCCGCGGUUAUUUUUGGCAAGCAAUCUCCUUGUCAAUGUGAUAACAGUCCAUAUGAAACUGACAGACUGAGAGUCUGUGUACUGUACAAUGACGGAACUGUAGAAGUAAAAAAAAAGUUCUGUCUCGGGUCUACUGUACUGUGUACUUGUGACUUUAAAAAUAUGCAGUGCAGGGAUACAGCAAGUUCCCAAGUUCUUAGUUAAUGAACAGAGAAAAUUGAUGAGGAGCUCAUUGGGGAAAAAAAAGAAAUUAACAAAGGAAAUGUACUUUUUCAAUAAGGAGAAGAAGUAAAAGCAGCAGGGAAAAUUGACAGAGUGAUACAUCUUCUAUGAAUAAAAAGAGGAAAUAAGUGUCUGCAGCAGUAAAUCAUUAUAACAACAAGACUGUGAAAAGAAGAUAUUAGAACAUGAAAUGAGUUUUAUUUCUUUUAAAAAGAAUUGUUACGGAAUAUACCUCUUGUGAUUCUAAUGAAAACCAUUGUCAACUUGAAGUAAAGGAAGAUUUUAUAAUUUAAUAGAACAGGAAAUAAAGGAAGACUCAAUCAUUUAGAGCAUAACAAAGCACAAUGUAUAUUUCUAAUUAGUCUGUUAAUUCAGAAUAACCCAUGUGAAGGAAUUAUAGUUUACAGUAAACAACAUACAAUACACUUACAAUUUCAUGUUUUGCAAUUGGUGAAUUUUUAUGUUGUACUCAGGUAAAAUUUAUAUGACAGAUGCAUUACCUUAAAUAUUCACUGAACACAUGAAAAUCCAACAUAGCCAUUGCAAAAAUAACUUGCACUUACAUGUACAUAUGUUAUUCAUGUGAUAUUAAUAUGAAAUUCACAUCACGAUCAUGUGAAAAUAUAGACGUGAAAUAACACCACUUUUACACUUUAAAAUAAUGUGAAAAAAUCUAAAUGUGAAAUUAACACAAUAUUUACACGUUAAAAUCACGUUUAAAAAUUUACGUGUGAAAUUAACACAAUAUUUACACGUUAAUAUCACGUUAAAAAAUUUACAUGUGAAAAUAACGUUACGUUUAAACGUGAAUAUCACGUGAGCAGAUUAAAACGUGAUUAUCACGUGAGAAUCUUGUGUGUGUCAAAUACAGGUGAUAUAAACGUUUAAACGGUGUGAUACACACGUGGAAAUAACGUAGUUUUCACGUAAUGAGCACAAACGUUAAACACACGUUGGAAAAAAUUGCCUGUGUA